GCUUCUUUUUCCACCGGAGCUUGCUCCACCGGAAAAAGAGGAGUGGCGAACGGGUGAGUAACACGUGGGUAACCUGCCCAUCAGAAGGGGAUAACACUUGGAAACAGGUGCUAAUACCGUAUAACAAUCRAAACCGCAUGGUUUUGAUUUGAAAGGCGCUUUCGGGUGUCGCUGAUGGAUGGACCCGCGGUGCAUUAGCUAGUUGGUGAGGUAACGGCUCACCAAGGCCACGAUGCAUAGCCGACCUGAGAGGGUGAUCGGCCACAUUGGGACUGAGACACGGCCCAAACUCCUACGGGAGGCAGCAGUAGGGAAUCUUCGGCAAUGGACGAAAGUCUGACCGAGCAACGCCGCGUGAGUGAAGAAGGUUUUCGGAUCGUAAAACUCUGUUGUUAGAGAAGAACAAGGAUGAGAGUAACUGUUCAUCCCUUGACGGUAUCUAACCAGAAAGCCACGGCUAACUACGUGCCAGCAGCCGCGGUAAUACGUAGGUGGCAAGCGUUGUCCGGAUUUAUUGGGCGUAAAGCGAGCGCAGGCGGUUUCUUAAGUCUGAUGUGAAAGCCCCCGGCUCAACCGGGGAGGGUCAUUGGAAACUGGGAGACUUGAGUGCAGAAGAGGAGAGUGGAAUUCCAUGUGUAGCGGUGAAAUGCGUAGAUAUAUGGAGGAACACCAGUGGCGAAGGCGGCUCUCUGGUCUGUAACUGACGCUGAGGCUCGAAAGCGUGGGGAGCAAACAGGAUUAGAU
rnacentral:rRNA from 1 species